AUAUAAUAUUUCAAUUUUCGCGCGGUUGAAGUGAAUAGAAAACUGCAUCGUUCUAUCCAAUCAGAAAAUUGUUAAGAUCUAAUAGUGAGACGAAUCAAUGCGCAUCAUAUUACUUACGUCAUCAGUCUUCAGUUGAAAAUUGUAGUGACAGGUAGCAUUUUAUUGUUAAUAUUGGUGCAUAUCCAUUCGUGUACGUAUUGGAUUGGACAAAAGUUAAAAUUUUAUUAUAUGUACAUCAAAAUCGAAUUACUACUGCCUAUGUUAUCCGGAAUCAACGUCUAUAGCAUUUUCAUUUAAAUGCUCGAGCAGGUUACGUGCAUCGCUUUAACGAAUGGUUAAACGUUCUCUUGAUUGCCGUAGUCGGAUGAAAUAUACGAAGCGUUGAGACAAUUUGUAGAUAAUUCCAUCGUUAAUUCACAGAUACAGAAGUGAGUAUAGAAUU